rfam:Pseudogymnoascus pannorum VKM F-4246 contig_3320, whole genome shotgun sequence.
GCCGCCAUGGCGCAGUGGUAACGCGUCGCACUUGUACCACUCGGACAGACCAAACUGUCCUUCAUGUCGUGAAAUGCGAAGAUCCCUAGUUCAAUUCUGGGUGGCGGCA